rnacentral:tRNA from 1 species
GCUCUCGUAGUGUAGUGGUCAUCACGUGCGCUUCACACGCGCAAUGUCCCUGGUUCGAUCGCAGGCGAGAGCA